CACGUAGGGCGCAAGCGUUGUCCGGAAUUAUUGGGCGUAAAGAGCUCGUAGGCGGUCCGUCACGUCCGCUGUGAAAACCCAGGGCUCAACCCUGGGCUUGCAGUGGAUACGGGCAGACUAGAGGUAGGUAGGGGAGAAUGGAAUUCCCGGUGUAGCGGUGAAAUGCGCAGAUAUCAGGAAGAACACCCGUGGCUAAGGCGGCUCUCUAGUACGGUACUGACGCUGAGACGCGAAAGCGUGGGGAGCGAACAGG
rnacentral:rRNA from 1 species